rnacentral:lncRNA from 1 species
UGCAAGCUUAUAUCAUUAUCGUGUGUUAAUACCACCAAAUCAUAGUAUGUCACAUCUGGUUGCUUACAAAAAAUGAUAUAUGAAUUAAGUAACUAAAAAAGCAGAAAAAAUGAGGGGUCCAUUAGCUUGUUCUCGAAAUAUAAAACAUUGAAAAUUUGGCGGGAAAUAAUUUUCUCUAGGUUUCCAUACAUUUAACAUGGCACCGUUUUUCUAUCAAAUAGUAUAAAAAAUAACAAGAAUUUAAUAAGAUUUUCAAAGAUGGCAUUUUAAACUAUUUGUAAUCAAAUUAUGAAAGAAAAGUAGGGGUUAGUGGGCAAAUAUUUGCAAUGGCAUUGCAUGGAUAAAACCAGAGGAUUCCAAAUAUCUUACAAGCAUCCUUGAGAUAUUUUGUUUGUUCUAAAUACAAACAAUAGGGUUUUCAAUACAUACAUGCACACGUUACACAAAUAAGCAAUGCAUAAUACAGAUAUUAUAU